rnacentral:rRNA from 1 species
ACACGGCUAGAAAAGUGAAACUGCGAAUGGCUCAUUAAAUCAGUUAUGGUUCCUUUGAUCGCUCACCCGCUACUUGGAUAACUGUGGCAAUUCUAGAGCUAAUACAUGCAAACGAGCGCUGACCUCCGGGGAUGCGUGCAUUUAUCAGACUUAAAACCCGCGCGGGGUGCUGCCGCGUGGCGGCCCCCGGCCUGUUUGGUGACUCUAGAUAACCUUGGGCCGAUCGCUCGCCCUCGCGGCGGCGACGACUCAUUCGAAUGUCUGCCCUAUCAACUUUCGAUGGUACUCUACGUGCCUACCAUGGUGACCACGGGUAACGGGGAAUCAGGGUUCGAUUCCGGAGAGGGAGCCUGAGAAAUGGCUACCACAUCCAAGGAAGGCAGCAGGCGCGCAAAUUACCCAUUCACGACACGUGGAGGUAGUGACGAAAAAUAACAAUACAGGACUCUUUCGAGGCCCUGUAAUUGGAAUGAGUGUACUUUAAAUCCUUUGGCAAGUACCAAUUGGAGGGCAAGUCUGGUGCCAGCA